rnacentral:rRNA from 1 species
AGUCGAACGAGCUCUCCCAAAUUGAUUUUAUGCUUGCAUAAAUGAUUUUUGGAUUCGGAGCGAGUGGCGAACUGGUGAGUAACACGUGGGUAACCUGCCCCGAAGCGGGGGAUAACAUUUGGAAACAAGUGCUAAUACCGCAUAAUUAGUUGGAACCGCAUGGUUCCAACUUGAAAGAUGGCUCUGCUAUCACUUUGGGAUGGACCCGCGCCGUAUUAGUUAGUUGGUGAGAUAAAAGCCCACCAAGACGAUGAUACGUAGCCGACCUGAGAGGGUAAUCGGCCACAUUGGGACUGAGACACGGCCCAGACUCCUACGGGAGGCAGCAGUAGGGAAUCUUCCACAAUGGACGAAAGUCUGAUGGAGCAACGCCGCGUGAGUGAUGAAGGUUUUCGGAUCGUAAAACUCUGUUGUUAAAGAAGAACAAGUGUUAGAGUAACUGUUAACACUUUGACGGUAUUUAACCAGAAAGCCACGGCUAACUACGUGCCAGCAGCCGCGGUAAUACGUAGGUGGCAAGCGUUGUCCGGAUUUAUUGGGCGUAAAGCGAGCGCAGGCGGUUUUGUAAGUCUGCUGUGAAAGCCCUCAGCUCAACUGAGGAAGUGCAGUGGAAACUACAAAACUUGAGUACAGAAGAGGAAAGUGGAACUCCAUGUGUAGCGGUGAAAUGCGUAGAUAUAUGGAAGAACACCAGUGGCGAAGGCGGCUUUCUGGUCUGUUACUGACGCUGAGGCUCGAAAGCAUGGGUAGCGAACAGGAUUAGAUACCCUGGUAGUCCAUGCCGUAAACGAUGAAUACUAGGUGUUGGAGGGUUUCCGCCCUUCAGUGCCGCAGCUAACGCAUUAAGUAUUCCGCCUGGGGAGUACGACCGCAAGGUUGAAACUCAAAGGAAUUGACGGGGGCCCGCACAAGUGGUGGAGCAUGUGGUUUAAUUCGAUGCUACGCGAAGAACCUUACCAGCUCUUGACAUCUUCUGCCAACCCAAGAGAUUGGGCGUUCCCUUCGGGGACAGA